UACGAAGGGGGCUAGCGUUGCUCGGAAUCACUGGGCGUAAAGGGUGCGUAGGCGGGUCUUUAAGUCAGGGGUGAAAUCCUGGAGCUCAACUCCAGAACUGCCUUUGAUACUGAAGAUCUUGAGUUCGGGAGAGGUGAGUGGAACUGCGAGUGUAGAGGUGAAAUUCGUAGAUAUUCGCAAGAACACCAGUGGCGAAGGCGGCUCACUGGAUCGGUACUGACGCUGAGGUGCGAAAGCGUGGGGAGCGAACAGG
rnacentral:rRNA from 1 species